ensembl:lncRNA
GAAAAAUGUAACAUUGGUUUGAAAUUUGUAGCUGAUGUGGUCAAAGAGUAAUUGAAACGUGAAUCUUGUUAUCGUGCACUUUGUUGACAGUCUCUAACUGGUUCCAAUAACAGCUGAGUACAACUUUUGCAGCAGCUGAGUACAACUUUUUUGGAAAAAUAAAACAAUAUUGUAUACCGUUUUUCCUUCAUAAAGAAUCUAACCUGAGGUCUGUAGUUUGGAUCGUUCACAAGCUAUUGUGCUUUGAAGAUACGAGUGUCCAAUAUCAAACAUCAAACUAACUUCACUGCCUCUUUGUAGACCAGCAUGCUGCAAUAGGUUGCACUUGUCCAGUAACACAACUUACAGUAGACUGCCAGGGUGCCAGGGAAAGAUAACUCAACAUACAGAUGAAAAUUAAAAUGGACAACAUACUUUUUCCAUUUCCCUGUCUCAUUGUACUUUUGGGUCUGGUGUUGACUUCUAUGACUACAGCCCAAAACAACAUAACUACCACAAUCAGUCCCACUAAACUCAUCAAUCACACCGGAAACCAGGUAAACUCAACCAUCAACCCAGUUGAUACAGCACAAAGCAAUGAUACCACCACAACUCUGCCAACAAAUUCAGGCAGUCCUAACACCACCACAGAAAAGGAUGAUGACAAAAGCACCAACAUCUCAACAACCACAUCCCAGCAGUUGACACAGAAUGGCAAUACUUCACAUCCCUCAGGAGGAAUCAGGUCCACAACUCCUGCUGGAAGCACCAAGGACAAAGAAUUGGGUCAUACCAAAACAACAACAACGACAACUGUGCCAACAUUAGUUCCUACCACAAGUGCCCAUCGAAAUUCCACAAAAUCCAAGAUCUGGCUAAUCAUCUUGAUUAUCAUCAUUGCUGUGGUUCUUGUAAUAGUAUUUGUCCAAAUACGCAAGAAGUUGAAGAGGAAAUCGAUGGAUCUGCCAAGCAGACAGGAGGAUGUCCCUCUGAGUACUCACGAUCAUGACGUCGCGUUUGACAGCUCUCCGGCACCGAAGGAAAUGCAGACCUUUACGGCUGUGGACCUCGACAGCACUGAAGCCCUGGUUGAGGAUUCACCUGGAACAAAGGAGGAUGGUGGGAACAGCUCCGACCUCCCCCCGCCGCCAGGCUCUGUGGACAAACCCCAUGACGUGGCCCCGACUAAACUGGCCCCUGAACACGGGGCCCUGGGGGUCCCAGAAGGGGAGACUGAUGACGAACUCGCCGUCUCCAAUAAGACCUCGGUGGAGUCAGUGGCGGUCAACGAUGACAACAACAACAACAACAACAACAUCAGGAUGCCAGUGACAACGAGAGAUUGAAGAAAAAACAUGAAGUCAAAGGUCAAUACAUCGGAAAUAAAUGGAAAAACUAGCUAGCUGAUUAAAUUCAUGUUUGCUUAUGGAAAUAAUCAAUUUAUUAUUAUUAUAUUAUAACAUUUUCACAUUUCAGGAUAAACCUUUCAAUAUGUUAACUUGCAAAAAUGCUGUUUAUUUUCUGGUACUUUUUCAAUACUGUAUUUUUCCCCCCAAUAAACCUACAGGAUGGACUUUAUUUAUAUUGAAUAAUUUAAAAAAGUCAUUGCAUAUACCUCAGUCAUCAGGUAUAAGAGUAUUUUGUGUAUAGCUAGAUGUAUGUAUAGUGUAUUGGUUGAAGAGUGGCUUUGUCAGGAUGGGUUUAUGUUGUUAUUCUAAGGGUAUAUGCUGGUUAAGAUGUGUUUGUGUGAGCAGGAUCAAUUCCAAAAUCAAUUUAAAAACAAUUUUUAAAGCUUUAUGAGGAUUUUUUCCAUUUGCCCUCAAGGUAAUUAGAAAAGGUGAUGUUUUGUAAAAAAUAAAAAAUAAAUGCAUAUUUUUUUACUGUCUAACAGUAAAGUCUCCAGAGGAGUUGCAAAUGUAGUAAAUGUGUCACAAGAUGUGUGAUAUUAGGUAAUGUACAUCCUUUUGUUUGUGAACAUUAUGUCAAUAUUUUAAAACUUCCCCUUUUGUGAUCUUCGUUGUGUAGGUAAAUUGACCCUAUGGAUAGAAGUUAAUAUGCAGUAGCCUAAGGGGAUCCUGAUUCUACAUAAUAUACUGAAUAUUUCUCUAGUCCUAUGCUCAGCCCGGCUCCACUCAUUGUGUAAACUAAAUGCUAUUUCUAGAACAACAAUAUCUUGUGUUGUUGAAAACAUUGUCAAAUAAAUCUGUUAAAAACAUGUGCGAUA